CGACGGACGCGCGCCUCACCUCGGAGGCAACGCAGCGACCCUGAGCCGGGCCCAUAGCGACUGUAGCUUCCGCAGGGGCUGCGGGUCCUCAGUCUCAAACAAAAAUCUCGAAGGGCCUUUAAAAAAGCUAGAUGGAGCCACUGCCCUCUUUCUAGCCACUCAAGGAGGUUACUUGGAUGUCAUCCGAUUAUUGUUGUCUUCAGGAGCAAAAGUCAACCAACCAAAGCAGGUAAUGUGCUUCGAUGAACUCUGAUCAAAUAGGGGGUAUGAGGCAGGUAGGGCUGGGUGGCUCCUAGCAGCACAUACCUGAGAUAACCAGCAGCUCCAGGCCUCCUCAAACCCUUUUGCCUCCGCCAUGAAAAGCUAAUCUUUGAAAGGU
ensembl:lncRNA